GGCCGGCGCAGCCUACACAUGCAGUCGAGCGAGCUCCUUCGGAAGCUAGCGGCGGACGGGUUAGUAACGCGUGGGAACGUGCCCUUCACUGCGGAAUAGCCACUGGAAACGGUGAGUAAUACCGCAUACGCCCUUCGGGGGAAAGAUUUAUCGGUGAAGGAUCGGCCCGCGUUAGAUUAGAUAGUUGGUGGGGUAACGGCCUACCAAGUCUACGAUCUAUAGCUGGUUUUAGAGGAUGAUCAGCAACACUGGGACUGAGACACGGCCCAGACUCCUACGGGAGGCAGCAGUGGGGAAUCUUGGACAAUGGGCGCAAGCCUGAUCCAGCCAUGCCGCGUGAGUGAUGAAGGCCUUAGGGUCGUAAAGCUCUUUCGCCAGAGAUGAUAAUGACAGUAUCUGGUAAAGAAACCCCGGCUAACUCCGUGCCAGCAGCCGCGGUAAUACGGAGGGGGUUAGCGUUGUUCGGAAUUACUGGGCGUAAAGCGCACGUAGGCGGAUCAGAAAGUUGGGGGUGAAAUCCCGGGGCUCAACCCCGGAACUGCCUCCAAAACUCCUGGUCUUGAGUUCGAGAGAGGUGAGUGGAAUUCCGAGUGUAGAGGUGAAAUUCGUA
rnacentral:rRNA from 1 species